GAAGAAAACAACAGGAAGUAUGAGAACUGGUUCACUUGGUUCUAAUUCAAGAACAUCAAUUACUCCUAUGGAGGGUAAACAAAGUCGUCUGUCUGCUUUAGGAAGAUUAUUUAAGCCUUGGAAAUGGAAAAGAAAGAAAAAAAGUGAUAAAUUUGAACAGACAUCUCGAGUUCUAGAAAGGAAAAUUUCCAUGAGAGCUACCAAAGAAGAAUUAAUUAAACGAGGUGUUCUAUUACCAGACUAUGAUGUAAUAAAAGAAGAAGCAGAAUUCCUUGCAAAAAAAAGCAUGCCAAAAGUAGAGUAUAGUCUGCAGGCUAAUGGUUCUGUGACCAAUGAAACUAGUUCAAAAGAAAUGAAUAAUAUUCCUUUUCAAGACUUAUCCGGGUCUGCUAGUACAUCAUCAUCAAAUUCUAAUCUAUGCAGUUCACAAAAUACCAUUGUAACUUGUUCCCCAAAUAGUUUGUCAUCUUCUGUGAUAGCUAGCAACUGUGUAUCAAAAAGCUCCGAGCAAGAAUUCACUCCAAAUAGCAGUAGUCAUCCAAUGUUUUCAUGUUUACCUGAACCACCUAUACCAAUAAAUGAAAUUGGUCCCAUCCCGCCACCACCUAUGUUUUCUAGCUCACCUAGUUUGACUGCAAGAUUUCAGCCAUGUAUAGCUCUACUAGAUCAAGCAAUUAGAGAAAGGCAAGAAGCUUGCAAAGCUGCUGCAUCCAUCACAUUACCAAAUUCACAGCUGGAUAGUACUUUAGGAACUGAAAUUAUUGAGGAAAUACCUGCAAAGGAACCUCAUUUAUCAGCUAUGCCUAAAAAAAGUGCAUUAAAAAAGAAGGGAACUGUAUGCAGUACUUCUACAAAAAUAUGUUUUAACUCUGUUUCAUUUGUUACUUCUAAUCCUCUUACUAUGCCAUUGACAAAUUUAAAUAGGCCUGUUACAACAUUAAAAGUUGCUAAGGUGCCUUUAGCUGGUAGUCCUCCUUUCAUUAGUCCAGAAAAUAAAGAAAAUAGGCCUCUGCCUUUUAUGCAUGUUGGUAGUGUGCUUGGUGUAUUAAAUUCAUCCAACAGCCAGUUAGAAAACUUAUUAUUCUGGAGAGAUUAUUAUGGGGAUGAUGAAAACUGUAAAUUGGUUGCAAAAAUUGCCCGCAAGGAUUAUUUAGCAAUGAAGCUUGCACAGCGCCCAGAACGGCAAGAUCUUAUUAAUAAAAACAUUAUUCACUUACAAAGUGAACAAGAACGUCAAGAAGUCUGGGAAGCAGUUGGAAAUCAACUCAUCAGGAGACUUAGUUUGAGGCCAACAGCUGAAGAAUUAGAGCAGCGAAACAUCUUAAAAAGAAUUUGUUCAGUCUGUUGAGAAUAACUGCUUCUGUAACCUUACUAAGGCACGACAGGAGGCUAAUGGGUCUAUAGGAAUCCGGCUUGCCUGGAUUUAGAACAGGAGUGAUGAUCGCUAACUUCCAGUCGUGUUAUCAGACUCCUGAGGAGAUGAAAAAUGAAAAGGAGCAGAAAAAGAUAAUGUUAAUCAGGAAGCUGAGCUUCAGGCCUACUAUUGAGGAACUAAAAGAAAGAAAAAUUAUACGGUUUAGU
rnacentral:misc_RNA from 1 species